GGAACUUGGGAUUCCAACGGCAGGCGGGAAGCGCUCUAGCUGGCGGCUCUGGCCUUGUGAGGGAUACCUAUGUCCCCCCCUUUUAUUUCCCUUUCAUCCAAUAAACCCUGCUUUACUUACCCUUUAAAUCAUCUGCGAGCCUUAAUUUUCAUGGCUGUGGGACAGACAAGAACCUUGUCUUUAGCUGAACUAAGAAAAAGUCCUGCAACAUCUUUCGGCGCGCAUUGUCGGGGCACCAGAAGCGGACAGAUCCCAUGAAAAAGAAGUCCAGCCAGUAUUUUUCCAGGGUUGAAGAAGUUCUUUCACCAUAGAAAUAGACAAGCAAGGCUCAGUGACAUUGGUCAUUAAAGGACAUUUAGGUGACAGACUUUCAAGUUGUUUAAGUAGUAAAAAUGGUUCCUUGGUGACAAGAAAAGUUAUUAGGGACAUUAAAGAUGAUAUCAGUGAAUCAGAACUAAGAAUGAGUUGGAUGAUAUAGGCAGGAAUACAGGGAAGAAUUAGAUCAGGAACAUCUUACUUGUAUAGACAGGUCAUAAUGAGAAAAGCUGAUGGAGAACUGGGGUUGGCAACCAAGGAAACAAAGGUUAAAAGGCUACAUUUGGAGCUGGAGGAGCUGAGAAAAUUGUGUGGCUGAAGUUUGCUUGAAGAUGGAAGCAAACUACAAUUUCAAAACCUGAGCCUGUGCUCCCUAUUCUUUUGUGUUCAACUAACUACAAAGAACAAUUCUCUUCUCACGUAUUUUGAGAUAUGGCCCAUCUCCCUUCUUCCACAUAACUCCAGUAAGACUCAUGAACCACUUCUUCACCUAUCUGCCUCUAUAACAACGCAGGCCCUCUUUCUCUUCCUUGAACUGUUUUUCCUUAAUGACCAUUCUCCAUAUUCAAAAACCUGAUUGUCCGGUGCAUUUUGUCUUUCACACAGCAAGACACGUAUCUUUGAAAAGUUAUCAGUUAAAUAUACAUAGAUUUAUUGCUCAGUGUUACUCUCAUCCAGGAAAUAAUAAUUAUGCCCUAGUCCUAAAAAAGGAGGAAGAGUAAUUCAGGAUUAUUAAAAUCUUCAUCUUUUAUGAAAGAAGUUUCUUCUAAGUCUAACUGAAGAGACAGAACAGUGUCCCAAAGCCAGGUGGAUUGCUUAGUUUGGAUCCUGAUUCACCCCCAAUUUCUACAGCAUAGAUAGAUGUGAGUAAGUAAUAUCAGAUGAGAGAUGGUUCUCAACAAGGAUAAUUGUACGUUCUAAUUUGAAUGUCCUUUCUCCUAUAAUAAGGAUAUAAAUACUGUGCCAGAUAAAGCUACAGAGUUGAUGGUCAGACUUUAGAUUACGAAGCCCCAAAGAGUCUGAGGGUGGAAGUGAGAGAACUGAUCAGCUGUAGGAUGAAGAGCUUCAGGCAAUAGAAAACUACAAAUCCACCACCUUCACCAAUCUAUUUUGUUCAACUUGAGAGCCUUUGGAGAGAGAAGCAGCAUCUAGAAGGGGCAAAUUUGCUUAACUGUAAAUAGAUUGUAAUUCAAGAUGCUCAGAUUUUAUUCCUGAAGAAUUUUAUUUAAAUAACUGUGCUGGACUCUCCUGCCCUAGGCCAGAACUAGCACCCCUACAGAGUCCAAUUCAAAAGUGUCCCAACCUCCCUCAACUUGGUCACCCAGUCAGCCCUGAGCACUGUAAGAAUUUCCUGGGUGUCUUCAUGUUUUCCUUUUACAGGUCAUUCAGAGUGACCUUGAGGAGAGACCACCAGUCUAGAAAGUGAAUUUGGUAGGAACUGGAAGCUCAUUCAUUUUCUGGAGAUGGGGGUAAACUUACUUACCCUCACACCACACUCAACCACUACUCCAGCUUCAAUCCCCAAGUAGGCUGCUUCCUCCAGUAAGAUCUCAGUGUAUCGCCUUGAAGUACACCUACAUUUCCCUGACUUCCAGCAGUAGAGAGUCUGUUAUACUCAACCAAUUCUCGUCAUCAUGUUGUGUUUUAUAUUACUAAUUUGCCAUAUUGGAUUAAUUUUAGAAUAGUCAAUAUAUGUGCACGUAAGGCCACAAAACAAAAUGAUAAAUAUGCAAAAAUAUAUACAGUUAAAGUUUCUGUUGCUUCCCUGCCCCUACUCUUUGUUCUGCUUCCCAGAGGCAAACUCAGUUUACAAUGUGUUUUAGGCAUAUACAUGGAGUGUGUGUGUGUAAAAAAGAGAAAGAGAUGUGUGUGUGUAUAUAUAUGUGUGUGUGUGUAAUUAUUGCAAGAGAUACUCGCAUUUCUCUUUUAAUGAAUAAUUACAUUUUCUAAUGUCUGUGCACCUUCUCAGAUAGACAAUGGCUAGUAAAAUAACUUUCAGGAGAUGUAUAUGUGUGUGUGUGUGUGCACACAUAUAUAUCCCAUGAAUAUAUAGCUCCUGAAAGUUAUUUAGCUAUAACAUAUAUAUAUACACACACACACAUAUACACACACAUAUAUAUCUCCUGAAAGUUAUUGCACCAGCUCAUGUUUAUAUGUGACAUCUCUGAUACAUUUUAUAAGGAAACACUAUAUAUUAUACUGUUGUCUUUGUUCUAUACUUUGCUUUUUGAUUUAUUAACUAAUAUAUAUUGAACGUCUUUUUAAAUCCAUUCAUGAAAAGCUACCCCAUUAUUUUGAAUAGCUACAAAAAUUCAUCAGAUGAAUGUGCUAUAAUAUAGUUUGUGUGUAUAUAUAUGUAUUUUUGUGUAUAUGUAUAUAUGUACAUAUUUGUGCCAAAUAUAAAAUAUCUGUACAUGGACUUGUUUUGCUUAUGAAUCAUUCUUGCCUGUGUGCCUAUAUAUCUGUAGGAUAAAUACCUUGAGAAGUAAUUUCAAAGCCAAAGAGUAAAUGUCUUUGUAUAUAUGACAUGUAAUGCUAAAUUGCCUUCUCUACGUGUUAUACAAUUUUACAAUGCCCCAGGAUUUUUUCCCUCAUAUUUAAAUGACACACUGUGGAAUUAGCUUUGUGGUCUGAGUAUACAAAUAGUUAAAAUAUUUUUGUCAUAUGAAAUUUGCAUUUAUCUUAUAAUGAAUAAUUACUUUUUCUAAUGGUUAUGACACCAUCCCAAAAGACAGUGGUCAUCUUGAAUUUCAGAAUCUUCCUUUGUAUUACCUUCUCCCCCUCCAUGGCAUCUAGCCCAUGGCUCUGUAUGUGGAAGGUAUUCAAAAUUGUGUUAUUAAUAAAUUGA
rnacentral:lncRNA from 1 species